CAAUAGCGUAUAUUAAAGUUGUUGCGUUAAAAAAGCUCGUAGUUGGAUUUCUGUUGAGAGCGACCGGUCCAUACCAUGUAUGCGUAUCUGGCUUGCUCUCGGCAUCCUCUCGAUAGACGUUACUGCGCUUGAUUGCGUGGUGCGGAUCUCGGGACUUUUACUUUGAGGAAAUUAGAGUGUUCACGGCAGGCUUUCGCCAGAAUACAUUAGCAUGGAAUGAUACUAUAGGAUCUUGGUUCUAUUUUGUUGGUUUCUAGAAUUGAGAUAAUGAUUAAUAGGGACAAUUGGGGGCAUUCGUAUCAACACGUCGGAGGUGGAAUUCUUGGAUUGUGUUGCGACGAACUACUGCGAAAGCAUUUGCCAAGGAUGUUUUCAUUGA
rnacentral:rRNA from 1 species